rnacentral:rRNA from 1 species
UGACACUGAACAUUGAGCCUUGAUGUGUAGGAUAGGUGGGAGGCUUUGAAGUGUGGACGCCAGUCUGCAUGGAGCCGGCCUUGAAAUACCACCCUUUAAUGUUUGAUGUUCUAACGUUGGCCCCUGAUCGGGGUUGCGGACAGUGUCUGGUGGGUAGUUUGACUGGGGCGGUCUCCUCCUAAAGAGUAACGGAGGAGCACGAAGG